AGGCAGGACCGACAGCUGCAAUGCUCACAGCACCCCUGUCUCCUCUCUCAGCCUUGUUUUCCUUCCUGGCUUCUGCUGUUAUCUAGUGGCCGUGCAAUUCACUUAUUUACUUUGUUCCUUGUUUACUGCCCCCACUGGAGUCUGGGCUCCCCAGGAGAGGCGAAUCUGUGCUCUCUUGUUCCCUGGGGCCCGGCUCAAUGUCUAGGACAGUGCCGGGCACAUAUGGAGGCACUGAGUGAAUGUUGUUUGGACCACCGUGUACCUCCGGAGUGGGGGGCUGGUGCAUAUCCCCAUGUUCUAAGAUCAGAAAGGAAAGAACGGUGAGGAGAGGAGGGAAGACGAGGGGGCCGCAGCUUCCAGGAGAGAGGCUGAGUGGUCGCUUCUACCUAGAGGGCAGGCAGUCCUGCUCCACCUGGCACCCAAGCCAUAGUGCCCGCCUGUGACCACUCCAGCUCCAGAACCAGGGCCACCCAUGUCUUCCCCGCAACCUCCCAUCUUGUCACUUAGGAUCCCGAGUCUUCGGGUCUGCUGAGAAUGGGUUGAGGGUCAAGAGGGAUGGGGAUGGAGGUGAGGCAGGGGGCUGUGGGGACUGGCACUGGCCAUACCACUGGUGGCCCAGAAAGAGGAAGUAGAAGGAAAGACUGAAGUCAAACUGCACAGUGAAAAAGAGGCAGAAAGCCACCAAAAAACCCAGAGACAGACAAACAGACAGAGAGUGAGAAACGGGGACGGACAGGGACAGAGUAGGGGAACCCUCUCUCGGGACGCCAGAGGCCCGGGACUAAAAACUACAUUUCCCAGAAUGCCAUGUGGCUCGCGCACACGCGGGAGGCGUUUCCUGACGCAAGCUUAGGUUCCACCAAUCAGAUGCCUCCGCGGGAAGCUUGAAUCGCUACCCUGGGUGAGCGGGGACAGAGGCAGCCCUGGCAGCCGCUCCACUACUGCGGAUCGCGGCUGGGCUGUGUGGCUGUGGAGCCCGGGCUGGCUCCCUCCUUGCGCAUGGGGAGCAGUGGUUCCUGGGCGGCCCUUUCUGGGGUGGUUUGGGGACUCUCUGGAGGCGGACCGGGAGGGAAAGCAAUGCAGACACAGGCAGAGACCGGGAAAGGCUGCCAACUCAAGCAAAGGAGGCCCGGUUUCACUGGGAUUUUACAUCAGCCACUGCUCUUCUCAUUGUGUGGGGGUCUGUGGUGACCUCCCCGAGCACAGACAUUUCCUCCGUCAGGGACUGAUGGGGAGAUUCGCACGUGGACUCCUGGAAUAUUCCAGAAGGGCCCUUAGCGCUGACCAUGGACGGCCACGGUGCUCGGUGAGCCACUUCCAAACCGACUUGGCAGUGCCCAAGGGGAGCCCACCAGAACGUCCUGCUCCGUCAACACCACCAAAUCAACGCCGCCCCAUCCCUCGGGCCGCCGGAAGCCGAGCAGCCCAGGGGCCCUAACCCUGGCUCGCCGACCUCUGACACAGUCACGGCAGUCUGGCUCACCAGAGUCAGCGACACAAAGCCACACAGACACAGGCAUGCACACGGAAGGCAGCGCGGCUCCACCCCCCCCCCCGCCCCCCCGCCCUGCCUCCCCAGCCCGGACGGGUCCGCGGACUCGGUGUGGCUGCGUGGAGGUGGAGGUGACCUGGACCGUACUGUUUUUUUUUUUCCUUAGAGUCCUCCAGAUUAGAUUCCAGUCCUGCCCCUUAUUCUUUUCCUUAGUCCACCCCCAGGCCAACACCCAGCAAAGGGGGUGUGGGUGGAGAAGAGGGGCGCGGCACUGGCUCCCAUCCCGUGCAUCCCCAGUGACGUCACAGAACGUGGCCUGGGGGCUCCACGGAAGCAUGAGCCCCCCGGGCUGUCAACGAAGUAGCCUCCAAGGCAGAGCCCACUGGGGCAGAAUCGCAGAGGCACCUGUCUCUCAUUGUCACCGGAAGUGACCUCUGGGGAACUUCUGACGUCACGAGGACUGCCCGGAAGCACAUCAGAAGAAAGGAAGAGUGCGGUCAGCCUACCCCGUCCCCGGAGGAGCAGGAGACACGAAGCCGAGGUUGAUGCCCUCCGGCUUCUGGGACAGCUGCACCCACGCGCCCGACUGUUCCAUCACGGCUUUCACGGUCGCGCCCCCUUUGCCGAUGAUCAAGCCUGCGGUGCUGUUGGGGACAAUCAGCUUGGCCUGCGUGGGGAGCAAGAGAGAGG